UGGGAGAUAGUUAAGAAUGAUAUCAUGGCCCUCUUUGACCAUUUUCAUCGAGGAAAGCUUGAUGUGAAGCGCCUCAAUUAUGGGAUUAUUACCCUUUUGCCUAAAAUCUCUAGUGCUGAGAGAAUCCAGCAGUUUAGGCCGAUUUGCCUACUCAGUUGCCCCUAUAAGCUCAUAACUAAAGUGCUCGAUCGAAGGGUUGCUGUUUAUGCAGAUAAGCUAAUCAGCCUCACCCAGAAUGCUUUUGUGAAAGGUAGGAAUAUCAUGGAUGGAGUGCUUUCUCUCCAUGAGAUACUCAACUAUACACAUGUUAAGAAGAGAGUUGGGGUUGUUCUUAAACUAGAUUUUAAAAAAGCCUACGACAAAGUAAACUAGGAUUUCCUCCUUGAAUGUCACAAAAUGCGGGGCUUUAAUGAAACCUGGUGUGGGUGGAUUAAACAAAUCCUCUUCGAGAGAACAGUUAGCAUCAAGUUGAAUAACUGCACGGGCCCGUACUUUCAAAGUGCCAAGGGGGUUCGCCAGGGGGAUCCCCACUCCCCUUUCCCGUUCAACUUGGAUGUUGAAUGCCUCACCAAAAUGAUUAGAAACGCCCAGAAAGAAAAGAUGAUCACGGGUUUAGCAUCUGACCUUAUUCCUGAUGGGGUAGCUAUCUUGCAGUACGCAAACGACACCAUUAUUUUCCUGGAGGAUGAUGUGGAUAAGGCAGUCAACUUGAAGUUGCUGCUCUACCUAUUUGAGAUGAUGUCUGGAUUAAAAGUUAACUUUCAGAAAAGUGAAAUCCUCACUGUGGGAGGGGAUGAGAAUGUUGUCAAGAAAUAUGCAGAUCUGUUCAAUUCUGAGAUAGGCAGCUUCCCCAUUAAAUAUCUAGGCAUGCCUGUGAGCUAUACUAACCUGAAGAAUUCUGAUUGGGAGUUCAUUAUGAGUAAGUACUUGAAAAGAUUUGAGGCCUGGGUGGGUAAUGCGGCCUCGAUGGGGGGGGGCAUACCCUGUUAG
rnacentral:rRNA from 1 species